rnacentral:rRNA from 1 species
CCUACGGGAGGCAGCAGUGGGGAAUAUUGGACAAUGGGGGGAACCCUGAUCCAGCGACGCCGCGUGAGUGAAGAAGUAUUUCGGUAUGUAAAGCUCUAUCAGCAGGGAAGAAAGAAAUGACGGUACCUGACUAAGAAGCCUCGGCUAACUACGUGCCAGCAGCCGCGGUAAUACGUAGGGGGCAAGCGUUAUCCGGAUUUACUGGGUGUAAGGGGAGCGUAGACGGCGAUGCAAGUCUGAAGUGAAAGGCCGGGGCCCAACCCCCGGACUGCUUUGGAAACUGUAUGGCUGGAGUGCAGGAGAGGUAAGUGGAAUUCCUAGUGUAGCGGUGAAAUGCGUAGAUAUUAGGAGGAACACCAGUGGCGAAGGCGGCUUACUGGACUGUAACUGACGUUGAGGCUCGAAAGCGUGGGGAGCAAACAGGAUUAGAUACCCGGGUAGUC